AAAAAACAAUGGCUUUUUUGAUAUCCUCGAAAAUCUCCUCGUGAAUUAAAACUCAGAGUCUAAACAUUUACUUUAUUCAAGGCGCAAAGUCAUCAUACUUUGGAUGAGAAACAUGUGGAUAUAUAUAACGUAGAGAGACCAAAUGGACAUAUAUUGCAAGCUGAUGUGGAUGCACGAGUUCCUCUACAGUAACUCCAUUUAUUCCUGCUGGCUUAGAUAUAUGUACGAUGGAUGGAGACUUAAAUAUGAAAUUAACUAUACACAGCAUAAGCUGGAUCGCAGAUCAAAUUCAAUUAACUGACAAGUCAUCCAUUAAAUACAGUUUUGUUUCUA